rnacentral:sRNA from 1 species
CCACCCCCAACACCCCCCAGCCCUUUGGAUUCUUGACCCCGAGUGUUGACCUUUGAACUUUGACAUGGUGAUUUGUGAUAUGUGCAGUUGUUAUUUAUUCUAGCUACUUUGGAAUAUUUAUUUGUUCUCCCCAAGUGACAUUUGUUGCAAAUGUUACCAGAAUUCCUCAAAAUCUUCUUCUUGUUGUGGCCAUUAAUUGAUUUUUUUCUAUAUUUACCUUUGUUGAUCAGUACAUAUAUUCAUAUGUACGUGUAUGUGUUAGAGCAUUAAAUUAACUUAUUUAUAUCAGAUAUUAUUUAUAUUGGCAUUGAUGCCACAAAGUCACAAUUGUGUAUAGAUAUUUAUACACUGAUGGCCGACCAGCUAAAUGGUCUGCAUGUUAGGAAAUUACAAUUUGCUUUUUUAUUUAAUUUCUUAUCUAUGAUCUACUAGUAUUUGCCUACAUACCUACAUGUCCAUACAUUUGUUUAUAAAACUUAAAAUAUGCUCUGGUGACCAGUGUGUUUUACUCAGACCAAUACCAAACAUUGUGUAGUACAUGUAAUAACAAGUCCAUUGUUUAGUCAAGGAAUUCAAGUGAUCUUCAAGAUCUUUUUUAUUAUCGACAGUAGGCUACCAUGGAGUUUUAAAAUGUGCUUCAAUUUACCAAUAUUUUUUACAUGAUUAUGGUGUACCUAAAAUACAGAGAGAGGAAGUACUCAUUAAUUGUUCUUAUUAUACAUUAUUAAACAGGGACACUGUCCAAAUGCCUUAAACUGUAUUUUUCGUCUUCAGUUUUUAUUUCAUUGCAAUCUCAAUCAUGCGAGUAUACCAUAUCAAUACUUGUAUAAGGACAGGGUCAGACACACGCUGUAGCUAUAACGUUAGGGUAUCAUGGACCUCCCAUUGUGAAAUUAAAUAUUGUCUUUCAUUUAAUUGAGUCGAUAUAAAAACCAUGGCUAUUUUUGUGUGUUUGUUAUAGUUUUGUACAAAACAAGAGACACAGGUGUAUUGGAGAAAAUGUGUGUGUGAAACAUAUCAGGUUUAAUAAAUUCAGUGUCAUUCCUCUU